rnacentral:rRNA from 1 species
ACGCAAUAGAUACCCUGGUAGUCCACGCCCUAAACGAUGUCUACUAGUUGUCGGGUCUUAAUUGACUUGGUAAACGCAGCUAAACGCGUGAAGUAGACCGCCUGGGGAGUACGGUCGCAAGAUUAAAACUCAAAGGAAUUGACGGGGACCCGCACAAGCGGUGGAUGAUGUGGAUUAAAUUCGAUGCAACGCGAAAAACCUUACCUACCCUUGACAUGGAAGGAAUCCCUGAGAGAUCGGGGAGUGCUCGAAAGAGAACCUUUACACAGGUGCUGCAUGGCUGUCGUCAGCUCGUGUCGUGAGAUGUUGGGUUAAGUCCCGCAACGAGCGCAACCCUUGUCAUUAGUUGCUACGAAAGGGCACUCUAAUGAGACUGCCGGUGACAAACCGGAGGAAGGUGGGGAUGACGUCAAGUCCUCAUGGCCCUUAUGGGUAGGGCUUCACACGUCAUACAAUGGUACAUACAGAGGGCCGCCAACCCGCGAGGGGAGCUAAUCCCAGAAAGUGUAUCGUAGUCCGGAUUGUAGUCUGCAACUCGACUGC